UAGCUUGGCGCUCCUUCCGUGCAGG
rnacentral:misc_RNA from 1 species